UACGGGGGGAGCAAGCGUUGUUCGGAUUUACUGGGCGUAAAGGGCGCGUAGGCGGCACCGCAAGUCGACUGUGAAAUCUCCGGGCUUAACCCGGAAAGGUCAGCCGAUACUGCGGGGCUAGAGUGCAGAAGGGGCAACUGGAAUUCUCGGUGUAGCGGUGAAAUGCGUAGAUAUCGAGAGGAACACCUGCGGCGAAGGCGGGUUGCUGGGCGUGACACGUGACCGCUGGACUGACGCGAAAGCGUAGGGGAGCGGAA
rnacentral:rRNA from 1 species